UUACGGUCAUACCACGUUGACAGGCUGGUUCUCCUCCGAACACCGAAAUUAAGUUACGUCAGACCUGAUCCGUACCUAGGUGGGUUACCGCUUGGGAUUACCAGGUACUGCAAG